UACGACUACAUAUCAGGCAUAUCAAUAAGCGGAGGAAAAGAAACUAACUAGGAUUCCCUCAGUAACGGCGAGUGAAGCGGGAAGAGCUCAAAUUUGAAAUCUUCAAGGUUUUACCUUGACGAAUUGUAGUUUAAAGAAGUGUUUUCUGUUGGUGUUUUGGUAAAAGUUCUUUGGAAUAGGACAUCAUAGAGGGUGAGAAUCCCGUAUUUGACCAUUACUUCCAGCGUUGUGAUACACUUUCAAAGAGUCGGAUUGUUUGGGAAUGCAGUCCAAAAUGGGUGGUAAAUUUCAUCUAAAGCUAAAUAUUGGCGAGAGACCGAUAGCGAACAAGUACCGUGAGGGAAAGAUGAAAAGAACUUUGAAAAGAGAGUUAAACAGUACGUGAAAUUGUCAAAAGGGAAGCGUUUGACACCAGUGUUGUUUUCUCGAAAAUCAAUUAAAAAUGGCAGGAUUUUGUGUUGUAUUGACUUCAUCAGCUUUCUGCACUUUUUCUUGCGUCAUUAUUUAAUGCACUUUUCAGUUUAACGAGUCAACAUCAAUUUCUUUUGUUGUAAAAGGGUAAUAGGAAGGUGGCUUUCACUUCGGCUGCAAGUGUUUAUAGCCUUUGAUCUCUGCAAUCGGAGAGAUUGAGGUCUGCAGCGUAGAUCCUUCGGGGUUAGAUACAUUUGUGCUAAGCUAUAGCCUUGUAUAGACAACAUUGUUGACUAUGCUCAGUCAUGUAGCUUACUCGCUUAUGCUAUUUUACCUACGCUUAGGAUGUUGACGCGCACAGAGUCUC
rnacentral:rRNA from 1 species